CUGGCGGCGUGCCUAACACAUGCAAGUCGAGCGGGGACAUGCGACGGAUCGGAAGUUUCGGAUGGAAGAGAAGAUGUAUGUUCUAGCGGCGGACGGGUGAGUAACGCGUGAGCAACCUGUCCUUCACAGGGGGAUAACACAGCGAAAGUUGUACUAAUACCGCAUGAGACCACGGCGGGACAUCCCGCAGGGGUCAAAGGAGCAAUCCGGUGAAGGGUGGGCUCGCGUCCGAUUAGAUAGUUGGUGAGGUAACGGCCCACCAAGUCGACGAUCGGUAGCCGACCUGAGAGGGUGAUCGGCCACAUUGGGACUGAGACACGGCCCAAACUCCUACGGGAGGCAGCAGUGGGGAAUAUUGGGCAAUGGGGGGAAACCCUGACCCAGCAACGCCGCGUGAGGGAAGAAGGUUUUCGGAUCGUAAACCUCUGUCCUUGGUGAAGAGGAAGAGACGGUAGCCAAGGAGGAAGCCCCGGCUAACUACGUGCCAGCCGCUGC
rnacentral:rRNA from 1 species